rnacentral:tRNA from 1 species
GGCUUAGCUCAGUAGGUAGAGCAACUGACUUGUAAUCAGUAGGUCACCAGUUCGAUUCCGGUAGUCGGC